UCCGCCCCACCUAUUUGGAAACUGAUAGAGGGGCAAAAGUGAUAUUUUUGGCCUAAGUGCGUGUAAUAUAUCACAUAAAAGCUCUUGAUUAGAUCUACCCGGUACCUAAAGGACCUAACUGAAAUCACAAACUGCACUGAAUAAAGAGGACUUAAGUGUACACACGCCCUGCUAGCACUGAGUAUUGCAUUGUGGGAUGGAUCAUGUGACCGCAGAUAGGCCAAAAUGGCUGAAAAGAGAAGUAAAGGUAUUGUGUAAAACCAAAUCUCUCUGCAGAGGGUAUUUUUCUGAGUUUAAUGAAGAAUCAGACAAAGAAUCCACUUCAGAAUUGGACAAUGGAAACUGGAAAACCUGGAGCUCCACCGCAAGAGCCACACAGUUAGAGAGGGGCUCAUCAGCCUCAAGAAUUGUCGGACGCCACGAACAGCUUAAAUUAUUGGGCCCUCUUCCAACAGCAGGAGCCACAGUCUCAACGGGACCAUGCAGCUGUUUAUGGAGCAAGAUCAGUGCAUAAGCCAGAAGAAUUAAUGGAAAUUCAACAGACCUGCAUUGUGAACCAAAAAAUGUACUUGUUAGAUCUAAGCCAAAAAAUUGUCAUGCAUGUCCAGGGCACAAGCUUUGAAAAUGCAUUGUUCCAUUGAUAAUGGAAAAGGCAAUUCGUUGAUUUAAAAUGGAUACCUAUUAACACAAUUAUGUAUAAUUAAAACACUGCAUAUGAAAUAAACUGACUUGUUGGCAGCAGUAAACACAACGGUUUACCAGCCUUAAUGAUGUUGAAUCUUUUGGCUCAGGGGCUGGGUGUGCCACCUACUAAACUAUCAAUGUGCCAAUUGAAAUGAUGAUCUGGAAUAAACUAUACUUGGAAUGUGAAGAUCGAGUUUGUUAGUCUGUGGAAAUGUUCAAGAACAGUGCCUAAAUAUUUCUUGUGGACAGACGUAUUUCUAAAUUGGUCAAUUAAAUAUCAUUAGACUUAUUUAGAUAGCGAGGCGGCUCUUGUCAUUUCAUUUAAAUCUUGUGCUUUGAUUUUUAUAUUUUUGGAGAGUGUGCAUUGGCUGUGGUGCUCUAUAAAGUUUCAUUUUAACACAUGACUAUUAAACAGCAAGCUUUUAUCCAAAUGUCCAGGACUAAUCUAAAAUUACAAUUAUUAUUUGACUUUGAUAGGGGCUGAAGUUGUGGCAGAGUUCAGCAGGUACUGUUGCACAAGUAAGUUCAUAGGUUUUACUGCAAUUUAUCCAAAUAGACACAAGGGGGAGCUAGUUCUGUUUAAUCAUGUCUGUAAAAGAAAGGCCCAGAUAGAACUAUGAAAAGUGCCAACAGGGAAACAGGACUAUACUAUCUAGAAGUUUUCACACACGAUCAGGAUACUCAAGGAAGAUUUCCAGAAUGCAGGUCCACAUGAGCCAUUCAUGUGCCAUUUUAACCUACUUGUUUACCAUUUAUCUAAAAAUUGACCUUUAAAAUAACUUUGCCUAAAUGACCUAACAGUGACAGCUUCAUAACCCUGUGCUUCACCAGUACCAGCAACACAACAUGCCACCCCUUCACCCUCUUACACCUGUUUUUAUACAUUGGAAACCACAGGGAUCAAUCACCUCAUUGAAUGAACAAACUAAAUAGUUUGUGCUAACUACAGGCACCAUUUAUCAUUUAUAUAAACAGAUAAAGUGUACAAUAAAGAAACAUAAAUGUGAGCUCACAUAACCGAUGUUAGCUAUUAAUGUGACAUGUAAUCAAUGGUGGAAUGGAGUUCCACUUCAUUCAAACCACAAUACAUAUGGCUAUGUUAUUAGUUUAUUUUAAUAAAGUGGGUAAAAUUAAUUGUAUUGCACUAAUUUAAUCAGUGAUACUUUUGGUAAGCUCCAUUAGUAGUAGAAAUGUAUGGGUUUUUUUUUUUUUUUUUUUUUGUAUAUAAAUUUUUAAUGGCUCAUUCUGCUAUGCCUGAAACAUAACACAUUACGCAUUCAGAGGCCUCAGCGCUUGUGUGUGCAUGUUAAAAUGAAUUGAUUUUCCUAUUGAAAUGAUGUGUGUGUGAUUACCCUCAACUACAUCAUUGUGAACCUGGAAAACGUGUUUCUCUACCGCAGGAGAUGGGGAUGAGGAUAUAUGUCACAGUUUGUGCAGAUCUGGAAAACCACUAAUCCAAUUGUUAUAACACUUGGUAUUAACAUUAUUUAGCACAAGAUACUGUGAGCAUUCGAUUCUGGGGAUACAGGGGGGUGUCUGUCUUUCUGUACAUUUGUUAUUAUUAUAUUUCUCUACUGUACCAUCCUGCUGGUUGCAAGUCUGGAAACUCCAUCUUUAUUAGUAGCUUCCUACACAACCUGAUCAAUUAGCAGUAUUUUAAUAAAACUAAUAGAAUGCCAGAAGUUAAAUGUUUUUUUUAAUUAAAACUGAAAUAAAGUGUGUGCAUUAACCACUUAA